rnacentral:lncRNA from 1 species
AAACCGUAUAUUUUGGCACCAUUAAGUCCUAAAGAAGUUUGUGAAUUAUAAAAAGUUGUAAAAGACCGAAUGGAAGCAUAUGAGAAAGAAAAAAGAAAGUGUGAGAGUGCACAUGAAAAAGAAAAGGUGCACAAGCAAAAGGGGAGUUGUGUGGAAAAUAAUGAGGGGCGAGAGCAACGAGUGGUAAAAGGAGAGUUUAGCGAGGG